rnacentral:rRNA from 1 species
UUAGACUUAGCGGCGGACGGGUGAGUAACGCGUGGGUAACCUGCCUUACACUGGGGGAUAACAGUUAGAAAUGACUGCUAAUACCGCAUAAGCGCACGGGGCCGCAUGGUCUGGUGUGAAAAACUCCGGUGGUGUAAGAUGGACCCGCGUCUGAUUAGGUAGUUGGUGGGGUAACGGCCCACCAAGCCGACGAUCAGUAGCCGACCUGAGAGGGUGACCGGCCACAUUGGGACUGAGACACGGCCCAA